UACGGAGGGUGCAAGCAUUAAUCGGAUUUAUUGGGCGUAAAGGGCGCGUAGGCGGAUUAGAAAGUCAGGUGUGAAAUUUCGGAGCUCAAUUCCGAAGCUGCACUUGAAACUCCUAAUCUAGAGGGUAGGCGGAGAAAAUGGAAUUCCACAUGUAGCGGUGAAAUGCGUAGAUAUGUGGAAGAACACCAGUGGCGAAAGCGGUUUUCUAGCUUAUUUCUGACGCUGAGGCGCGAGAGCGUGGGUAGCAAACAGG
rnacentral:rRNA from 1 species